rnacentral:other from 2 species
GCGGGGCUGCCCGACGCGUGAAGGCAUGUCACACCCCUGGGCCGAUAAGCACUUCCUAGGGAGCUGGCUCUGUUGUGGCCCUGGUCACAUUACCCGGCGCCCACCUGCACUAGCAGGUCCUGGAGGUUGAAAGACCCACGGUCAUGGUGGCUCCGCA